rnacentral:rRNA from 1 species
GCGGGGUAACGGCCCACCAAAGCGACGAUCAGUAGCCGACCUGAGAGGGUGACCGGCCACAUUGGGACUGAGACACGGCCCAAACUCCUACGGGAGGCAGCAGUGGGGAAUAUUGCACAAUGGGGGGAACCCUGAUGCAGCGACGCCGCGUGAGCGAAGAAGUAUCUCGGUAUGUAAAGCUCUAUCAGCAGGGAAGAAAAAUGACGGUACCUGACUAAGAAGCCCCGGCUAACUACGUGCCAGCAGCCGCGGUAAUACGUAGGGGGCAAGCGUUAUCCGGAUUUACUGGGUGUAAAGGGAGCGCAGGCGGCGCGGCAAGUCUGAUGUGAAAGCCCGGGGCUCAACCCCGGGACUGCAUUGGAAACUGUCGCGCUCGAGUGUCGGAGAGGUAAGUGGAAUUCCUAGUGUAGCGGUGAAAUGCGUAGAUAUUAGGAGGAACACCAGUGGCGAAGGCGGCUUACUGGACGACAACUGACGCUGAGGCUCGAAAGCGUGGGGAGCAAACAGGAUUAGAUACCCUGGUAGUCCACGCCGU